UACGGAGGGUGCAAGCGUUAUCCGGAUUUACUGGGUUUAAAGGGUGUGUAGGCGGGCCUUUUAAGUCAGUGGUGAAAUCUCCAGGCUCAACCUGGAAACUGCCAUUGAUACUAUUGGUCUUGAAUUCUGUUGAGGUGGGCGGAAUAAGUCAUGUAGCGGUGAAAUGCAUAGAUAUGACUUAGAACACCAAUUGCGAAGGCAGCUCGCUAAACAGACAUUGACGCUGAGGCA
rnacentral:rRNA from 1 species